AUGUGGCCCCUCCUGGCUCUGGGGCUCCUGGUGGCUGGGCUCUGCUCCAGUGUCCGCUGCCUCCCAAGGGGCGGGCUUCACCCGGAGGAUGUGACCCCAGAGGACAACACAAAGGGGCGCCUGUGGGCGACCACACAUUCGUCUCCGGCAACACCGACUUUGCUUUCAGCCUCUACAAGCACUUGGCUUUGAAGACCCCCAUUGAGAAUGUCAUCUUCUCCCCGCUGAGCGUCUCCAUGGCCUUGGCCUUCCUGUCCCUGGGGGCCCGCGGACCCACCCUGACGGAGAUCCUGGAAGGCCUCCAGUUCAACCUCACAGAGACCCCCGAGACAGAAAUCCACCAGGGCUGCCAGCACCUCCUGCAGAUGCUCGGCCGACCCAGCAACCAGCUGCAGCUCAGCGAGGGCAACGCCGUGUUCGUCCAGGAGCAGCUGAAGCUUCUGGACAAGUUCAGGGAAGAUGCCGGGCGCUGUGCCCCUCCGAGGUCUUCUCCACCGACGUCCGGGAUUCCGACACUGCCAGGAAGCUCAUCACCGACUCUGUGAGGCAUAAAACGCAGGGGAAAAUUGUGGAGUUGUUCAGAAACGUUUCCCAGAGCACAGUGACGGUCCUGGUGAAUUACGUCUGCUUUAAAGGUGGCUGCCCUUCAGAGUUCCCCGUGAGCGAGAACAGGACAGUGGAGGUGCCCACGGUGACCACUGGGGGCCGGGAAACGCCUUCCUUCCGGGACGAGGUGCUGGCCAGCCCCGCGGUGGAGCUCAAGUACCCCAGCAAAGCCAGCGCGUUCCUCGUCCUCCCUAAGGAGGGCAAAAUGCAGGACCCGGAGGUCGAGUUUCUCCCAGAGACGCUGAGGAGGUGGAGAGAGUCCUUGCAGCCCAGCUGACUAGUUCACCUCCACCUUCCAAAGUUUUCCAUCUCCAGCGAUUACGAUCUGCAAGACAUCCUUCCCCACAUGGGCAUGGGGAAAGUCUCCCCCCGACAGCUGACCGGGGGAUUAAAGAUGCAGAGGCUCUGGUGGUUUCCCAGAAGCACUCAGGCAGCUGCUCGCCUCCCACCCACCUCGUCCCUGGUGGGUGAUGCUCUGGUGUCCCCACAGGUGGUCCACAGCGCUGUGCUUGACGUGGAGGGCAUGGGAGGAGCUGCUGCCAUGGGAAGCAACUUGAUCUACAAGACUGGAGAAGGGAUCACUAUGCAUUUCAACAGGCCCUUUGUGUUUCCCGCACUCAGUAAGGACACCCAGAGCAUCAUCGUUUGGGGCAGUCACCAACCCCAGGGCCUGGGCCCUGAGGCCAAGCCCCCCGACGUCCCACACACGCUAAGCCCACCCCAGACUCUGGGCCCCUCUGCCUCAGCCUCACCAGCCAGCCCAGGAGCAGGCUUUGUGCUUGUGACCAAGCCCACUGGACCUCAGGCCCAGGGCUGGGAGGGGCCCCUGCUGCCCGGUGCCCACUUCCGGGGGCUCUGGCCCUAG